CUUCCAAUGCGUGAGUGUUGCUGGGUGAGUGUGUUGUGCUGAGUGUUUGUGUUGUCUGAAUGUAGUUGUGUAUGUGCGCGUGUUUGUGUGUUUAAUUAGGACUCUAUUUAAAAACCUACACCAUGAUCUUAUUUGAUCUGAUCCGUGUUGCUGCCCUGCUCGGAUUCAGAGGUGAUGAGAAGACACUCGCUUUAGCCGCUAUGGCGAUGAGCGUCGCGGCUUUAUAGCCGGAUAGCAGCUUCAGGGCACCGCAAUGGAGAUUGUGGUUAGAAAUGAUGAAUUGAUCAGAUAUACUAGUGCUGGUGGGAGUUUGGAGGAUUUCCUCCAAUCUUUCCUGACUGGUCUAUGAGUAUAGAGGCGAUUCUGAUCUUC